ensembl:lncRNA
UGGCCCUGUGGCCGAGUGGUUAAGUUCACGCCACUGUAGGCGGCCCAGUGUUUCCUUAGUUCAAAUCCUGGGCACGGACGUGGCACUGCUCAUUAAACCACACUGAGGCAGCGUCCCACAUGCCACAACUAGAAGGACUCACAACGAAGAAUAUACAACUGUGUACCAGGGGGCUUUGAGGAGAAAAAGGAAAAAAAUAAAAUCUUUAAAAAGGUGGGAAAAGCAUUUCUGAUGGAGAGAGCAAGUUGUACAAAGGCUUGGAAGCAUGAGACCAGCAAAUAUGAGAAACUACAAGGAGCAUAGUAUGACCAGGGUAGUGCGCCGGUGGGCUAGAAAGGCAGGCUGGAAGCAGCUGAGGGGUUUGAGUUGGUUGUGAAAGGGAUGCAGGUGUCCCUGGCAGGUGGAGUGCCUCUGUCUCAUCCUGCGCCGCCUCCAUCUUGGUCCUCACUGCACCCCAGUGUCGGCAGCCGUCUCAGGGCUGUGAGUGACCCAGGCCUGGGAUCAGGGCCCUUCUUGGUUCCCCCAGCACCUGGUUCAGUGGCUGGCAUAUUUGUUCAGGAAAACAACACCUUCAUUGCGUUAUCCUUGAUGGCAUUAAAUUUGAAUAAUUGUUUGCUAAAUAAAAGAAUGAGUCAUUAAACAUUUUCAAAUGAGGGGUAAAUACCAGAUUGUCACUUGAGGAACAAGAGCAUCAGAACCGCUCCGGCCGGCUCUGCACACCAUGCUUUAUGGACGUGAUCAGUGAGCCUCGAAGCAGCCCGCAGUGCAGAGCCUCUGCCCUCCACAGAGAAGGAGCCUGAGGUUCACGUGGAUUAACUCGUCCAAGACCACAGGGCAGGUGGCAGCUGAAGACUGAGAUUCAGAGAGGUCAAGCAACUCACCAUAAGUCAUACAGCUAGGAAGGGAGCCGAACCUAGAUUUGAACCUGGAUCUGUGUAACUCCAGAGCCUGAAUGCUUAACUACUAUACAAACUGCAAUCCAUGUGGCUUCGUGAAUCCAUUCUUUCCACAAACAGCAUUCCAGGAAUGUUCAUUGAGUGCUUACUAUGAACCAGGCAUUGUACAAGGCGAUGAGAUUCAACAGUGGAAAAGCAAAGUCCCUCCCCUUAGAGGCAUAGUCUGGUGGGAAACAGACAUCAGUCACAGAAAUCUCACACACGUUAUAAUUACAGACCCUCCCAGAUGCUCUGCAGGGAAAGUGCUGCAGCGACAGAGGCAUUGGACGGCAGGACCUGGACUUGCAUGGGAGUCAGAGGGGAUCCUGCCAGGAAGCAGUCUCUUGUAAAGGCUCCUUCAGGCAGUGUUUUAGAAAACCAGAACGAAGGCCAGCAUGGCUGGAGCCCAGAGAGCAAGCGAGAGUGGUGCAGGAUGGGAUGGAGAGUGGACAGGGACCAAAUCAGUCAGGGCCCUGUAGGCCAGGGCAUGGGACUUGGGAUUCACAGAGAGCGCACAGGAAGCUUUUAAAGGGUUUUCAAUAGAUCUGGGAAUUCAGAUUUGCUCUUUAGAAAGAUCACUCCUGCUGCUGUUGGGAGACCAGACUGGAAGGGGCAGUGGGUGCCGUGGUCCAGAGGAAAGGCGACGUGGCUUGAGUGGGAUGGUAGUGACGAGGGAAGGAAGAAGUGCAGGAUUCAGGAUACGGUUUCAAAAGUGAGGCCAACAGGAUUGGAUGUGGGCUGCAAGAGAGAAGACCCGAGAGUGACUGGGACACCUGGAUGAAUCUGGGUGCCUUUACUGAGAUGGGGAAUGCUGCGGGAGGAGCAGGUUUAGGGGAGAAAUGGGAGUUUGCUGUUGCUGAGUUUGAGGUGUCUAUAAUUAUCCAAGUGGAGGGGGAGAGCUGUUCUCAUCUCUGUCCCCAGAGGAGGCACAAGAUAGGUGCUUAUUAAAAACAUCUUUAGAUAAAAGCUUGCACAGAUGGCAGAGUUUGAGUCCAGUCUUGAAGCAUGGAUGGGAUUUGGCCUUGAGAUGAAGACAUUUUGGUGCCUGAGCUCAAAACAAAACAAAACCCAAACAGAACAGUUGGAGCACAUGAAGGAACAAGGACAGACUGCGACGUCGCAGUGGCCUGGGGGCGCCUGCUGUUGCUGCUCACCAAGGCUUUUUGCACCUUUGCCUGUAACACUGAGCCGUCCUCUGCAGAGCGUGAGAAGAAAUCAGCUAGAAAGAAAAAUUAUGCUUGUGUUAAGCGGAGGAUUCCAGGGUGUAUUUGUGGGAAGAUUAGCCCUGAGCUAAUAUCUGCUGCCAAUCCCCGUCUUUUUGCUGAGGAAGACUGGCCCUGAGCUAACAUCCAUGCCCAUCUUCCUCUACUUUCUAUGUGGGACGCCUGCCACAACAUGGCCUGACAAGUGGUGCCAUGUCCGCACCUGGGAUCCGAACCAGCGAACCCCGGGCCGCCAAAGCAGAACACGCACACUUAACCACGGCACCACCGGGCUGGCCCCAGCCUUGUGCUGGGAGCUGGCGAAAGGGAAGCUCCAGGGAAGCGUCCUCAAGCUAGGAGCACGGCAUGGACUUUAUGCCAUGACAACAGUUUUAUGUCCAAAUCCUGCCUCCAUUGCUAGUAAAGUCCAU